CCUACGGGAGGCAGCAGUGGGGAAUAUUGCACAAUGGGGGAAACCCUGAUGCAGCAACGCCGCGUGAGUGAAGAAGUCUUUCGGUAUGUAAAGCUCUAUCAGCAGGGAAGAAAAUGACAGUACCUGACUAAGAAGCCCCGGCUAACUACGUGCCAGCAGCCGCGGUAAUACGUAGGGGGCAAGCGUUAUCCGGAUUUACUGGGUGUAAAGGGAGCGUAGACGGCUGCGCAAGUCAGGAGUGAAAGCCCGGGGCUCAACCGCGGGACUGCUUUUGAAACUGUGUAGCUGGAGUGCAGGAGAGGUAAGUGGAAUUCCUAGUGUAGCGGUGAAAUGCGUAGAUAUUAGGAGGAACACCGGUGGCGAAGGCGGCUUACUGGACUGUAACUGACGUUGAGGCUCGAAAGCGUGGGGAGCAAACAGGAUUAGAUACCCUUGUAGUC
rnacentral:rRNA from 1 species